UGAGGUCAGGUGCAGCAGGCCCUGAAGCAGGAGCAGAGGAGGUGGGAGGAGCAGAGGGAGGUGACGCUGCAGGACCAGUGGAGGAGGAUGAAGAGGGAGGAGCAGGAGGCUGUGGAGAGUGUGCGCGCAGAGGCGGAGAGGGAGAGGCGGAAUGCGCUGGGCCUUCACAGCAAAGUACUGGAGCUGCAGACCAAGGUGCAGACACUGGAGGACAAGCUGUGUCUGCAGCAGAGGGAGCAGUCGUCUGCGCAGGCGGCCGUGACACAAGCUCUGAGAGAGGAGCAUCAAGCGGAGCUACAGAGGCUGCGCAGACAAACAGAGGAGGAGGCGCAGAGAGAGGGUUUGAGGUUAAGACACGUUCUCCAGCAGUCAGAGGCGCAGCUGCAUUCCUCGCAGGUGACACGUGCAGAGCAGGAGCAUGACCACCAGAUGGUGCUGGAGAGGCUUGAACAGCAGCAGCGGCGCUGGGCUCGGGACCUGCAGGUGGAGUGCCAAAACCUGCAGGUCAUGCUGGGAAAUGGAGAACACACAGAGCUCAUUGGAAACACACUGCUCAGUUAUACCUUAGGCCAGGCAGUGGAGAUGGUACCGACCCUUAGACAGCAGUUCCAGAAAUUAAUUACCGGGCUUCAGCAAGAGUUGGAGUUACAGAAACACACCAACCAGAAAAUAGGACAGGACAAGGAACACGAGCUUCAUCUUCAGAGAGAGCAGAUGCUUCUGGAGAAGGAGAGAGCCCUGCAGUCGCUGAGGGAGAGACUCAUCCAAGUUAGAUACUCAUCUUUUCAAAAGAAACUUUUUGCCUUAAUGUAGUUUUGCGGCAUGGUGCUCCACUUACACCCACAACAAAGAUGAACAUUCGAUUUAGUGACAGAAAAGUUAACAUAUCAGUUAUUCAAUUUGCCAUCAAAUUUAAUUUAUUAAUGAUAUAGUAUUUUAUAUAGUACCUUUGCCACACACACAUACACACACUCUCCCGUUCUCUUUCUGUUUCACACACCAGCACACUUAUACGCACACAUAUACACACUUACUUCCACACACACACACACACUGUGAUAUGUGUUUGACACUGUCUGUGCUGAAGGAACACAUUGAGGAGCUGAGUAUCCUGAACCGCUCCCAGCUGAGGGGGGCUCCAGAGGGGAGCGUGAUGGACUCCUUGAGGCGGCAGCUGAGGGACAAGGACGAGGAGCUGCGGCACGUGCAGAGGAGCAUGGGCCAGUGGAAGGAGAAGACCGCCGCACGGCUGGCCCGUAAGUUUGAGGAGGAGCUGACGUCCGAACUCGAGAGAAGAACUCCAAGAGUGUGUUCAGACCGGGAGAAGAAGCUUCAGCGUCUAGAAGAGGAGAUGAGGCAGCUUACCAUGGUACGCUCUCAGUCAUUCAGCAGCCAUCUGG
rnacentral:lncRNA from 1 species